AUGAGUGAGGCCACGGAGCCCAGGCCUGGGCCUGGCGGGCUGGGUGUGGGCUCCCGGGAUGGAGCUGGGCCAGCCCUGCAGGGUGCUCAGGAGCGCUGGGCCCCAGCGACACUGCCCUCUGAGCUGCGCCUGGGCCGCUGGGCCCGAGGCGCUGAUUCCUCUGGAAUAAGCAGGAUUGCAGAUGGAGUGAGUGGAAUUUUUUCUGAUCAUUGUUACAGCGUCUGCUCCAUAAGACAGCCGGAUUUAAAAUAUUUUGACAACAAAGAUGAUGAAUCUGAUAGAGGCAUCAAAUGACUUGCCAAAACUUACAGAUGGAAUCAAGGCCAGAAACCGAAAUCAGAACUACCUGGUCCCCAAUCCUAUACUUAGGAUUCUAGACCACACUGCCUUUGCUAUAGAAAAAUCAACUGAUAUUGAAAUUUAUGAUGAAGAAUGUGACUCACCUGAAUCGGUUAAUCAGCAGACCCAAGAGGAGAGCCCUAUAGAAGUUCACACCGCUGAAGAUGUUCCAAUAGCUGCAGAGGUCCAUGCAAUCUCUGAGGAUUAUGACCUAGAGACAGAAAACAAUUCUUCUGAGAGUCUCCACGACCAGACUGACGAAGAGCCACCAGCUAAACUCUGUAAAAUUCUUGACAAGAACCAGGCUUUGAAUGUGACUGCCCAGCAGAAAUGGCCUUUGCUCAGAGCUAAUAGCAGCGGCCUCUAUAAAUGCGAACUUUGUGAGUUCAACAGCAAAUAUUUUUCUGAUUUAAAGCAGCAUAUGAUCCUGAAGCAUAAGCGUACUGAUUCAAAUGUCUGUCGAGUCUGCAAAGAAAGUUUCUCUACCAACAUGCUUCUGAUUGAGCACGCCAAACUCCACGAGGAGGACCCAUAUAUUUGUAAAUAUUGUGACUACAAAAUAGUCAUUUUCGAGAACCUCAGCCAGCACAUUGCGGACACUCAUUUCAGUGACCACCUCUAUUGGUGUGAGCAGUGUGACGUGCAGUUCUCCUCGAGCAGUGAGCUCUACUUACAUUUCCAGGAGCACAGCUGUGAUGAGCAGUACUUGUGUCAGUUCUGUGAACAUGAGACGAAUGAUCCAGAAGAUUUGCAUAGCCACGUGGUAAAUGAGCAUGCAUGUAAACUAAUAGAGCUAAGUGAUAAAUAUAACAAUGGAGAACAUGGACAAUACAGCCUGUUAAGCAAAAUUACCUUUGACAAAUGUAAAAACUUCUUCGUGUGUCAAGUGUGUGGCUUCCAGAGUAGACUUCAUACCAAUGUGAACAGGCAUGUGGCUAUUGAACACACUAAAAUUUUCCCUCACGUGUGCGAUGACUGUGGGAAAGGCUUCUCGAGUAUGCUAGAAUAUUGCAAGCAUUUAAAUUCACAUUUAUCUGAGGGAAUUUACUUAUGUCAGUAUUGUGCAUAUUCAACAGGACAAAUUGAAGAUCUUAAAAUUCAUUUAGAUUUUAAACAUUCAGCUGAUUUACCUCACAAAUGCAGUGAUUGCUUGAUGAGGUUUGGAAAUGAAAGAGAAUUAAUAAGUCACCUUCCAGUUCAUGAGACAACUUGAUUGUCUUUUGUAUUUCUCUUACAUAAUGUCAAUGCAAAAUAAAAUACUACAACUGAUUUUUUGGACAUAAUAAAAUGUAUCACUUUAA